UAUGAAGUUGACAUGAUAAUAAGAUGUCCAGUGAAUGUGUUCCACCAAGUCUACUGAGCAGAGAAAAACACAGUAAAUCGAGCGGAACUUGUAAAUCCCAAAACAAGUUCAAGCAAGGUAACACAAGCGUCGCAGGAAUGGUGGGCGGAAACAGAUUACCUUGGAACUGGUUACGACUUGGCCUCUUCUUGGCGCUGUUCACUCAGUGUCUGGCCAAGAAACUGGAAUGCAUGCCGGCCUCCUCUGACCAAAAACGGUAUACCUUCAACGUAGGUGUUCUGAGCUCUCAGCCGGGACACUCCUUUCAGAGCUUUAUGACAGCACAUAUCAAGAACAACGAGACGGCAGUAAAAAACUGCUUCGAGUCGCCGUCUGUCGUCAACAUGGACAUCGCUCAAGACCUAAAAAUCCCGGACUCAGGGUGGACAAAAAUCAAGAACAGGAUGAACAUCCAGGUUAUUGACCAGGCGAAUCUAAGCAGUGAGCACGGAUUGACCGUGGUCAUCGGCCCCUUCUACACCAACAUGGCCAUGAUCCUCCAGAUGAACGGCAUUCCCUAUGUCGUCACAGACUACAAGGGCUUUGAUUGGAUAGACAGCAAUCGCGUCACGGACUCCGUCCAAUGGCACUCAGUGGUAGAAAUGAGACCUGCUGCAGCAGAGAUCAAUCUGGCUAUCGUUGAUAUAUGUAGGGCACAUAACUGGACGAGUGUCGUGGUCGUUUUGCCAGAUAACCCCAGGGAGAACCAAGAAUGCAAAGACUUGGUUAACCAAAUGAUCCAGAGCCAUAUUUCACCAAUACCGUACGCCCUCAGUCUCGGAAACACAGCCAAGACAAGUGAACAGACGCAAGAUGUUCUCCGAAACGCACAGAUGUUAGAACAGCGCGUGGUACUCACGUGCAGUCCAAGGGACGAAAAAGACAAGCUUAUUGAAACAGUUUUACAUGAGGCAAUGACCUUUGGUCUUCUGGAAGAUGAUCAAAAUGUGUUCAUCCUCCUUGAUACGUCCAUGUACCUUGAACCACUCAAAGAAAUGAACAUGUACAGGAAGGGGUUAUAUGCCGCCAGGUGUCGCCUGUAUGCCUUCCGGUACACAUUAAAUAAGGUCAACUUGACCAGCAGUCAAGAGGCCACAAUCACUGACGCCGCUGAGCUGGUCAACAGAGCCCAAACUCGUUACCUCCAAAUGUCUGAUGGUUACUUUGAUCCAGACUUCUCCAAAAAGGACUUCCUGGAAGCGUUGCGCCAGGUAACCUUCGACUCCCCAAUGACUGGUCACGUGCAGUUUAACGACGAAGGAAAGCGCGUGAAUUAUACAUUACUGCUCGUUAAUCACGGUGGAAUGGGCCUUUUUCACAAGGUUGGAGAAUGGAAUCCAAAUGGCUCGAGCGUCCAGGACCGAUUACGAUUGUUUCCGUCGAGUCGAGGCAUUGACGACGACCAGGGUAGCAUCUUCGACAACGUCCUCAAAGUCGUCGUCGUCAUUGAGGAACCGUUUGUCAUUCGUCGGGAAGGCCGGAAUGGCCAUAGUUACGAGGGAAACGAUCGCUACGAAGGGUUCACCAUCGACAUCCUCAAGGAAUUGGCUAAGGUCCUCCAGUUAAAGUACGAGAUUUACGAGAGUCCAAAUAACGUUUACGGAUCGGAAAACGCUAACGGCUCGUGGAACGGCAUGGUUGAGGAGGUACUUAGUGGGAGAGCCAAUCUAGGAAUGGGCGCCAUUUCCAUCACGUCAUCGAGGGAGAAGGUGAUUGAUUUUAGUCUUGGAGUAAUCAGCACAGGCGUAAACAUGCUAAUCAAGAAACCCAAGGAGGCAAAGAACAUUUUCCAGUUCAUGGAGCCGUUCUCUUUGUUCUUGUGGUUGGCCAUUGUAGGCGCCUCUAUCAUUGUUUCUAUCAUUCUGUUCGUCCUCGACUACACCAACCCCGAGCGGCAGUUCACGGUCAAAGAAACCUUGUGGUUUUCAAUCGGCACACUGCUCAUGCGUGGAACGGACUUCUCACCACGUCCGACAUCACAGAGAAUCAUCACGGCUGGGUUCACGUUCUUCGUUCUCAUCACCGUCACUACGUAUACAGCAAACAUGGCAGCCUUUCUCACAACGACCAACCUGGAACAGCCUGUUACGUCACUGGAAGAGCUCGCGGAGAGGAGCGACAUCGAGUGUGGCACCAUUGACAAAUCUGCCACAAUGAAAUUCCUACAAGAUGGCAGUAAGUCGGUGUAUAGAGAAAUCUGGAAGAAGAUCCGUCAAUCUGAUCACGGAUUGGUGCAAAACUCCACUGUGGGCAGGCAACGAGUGGAACAGGGUCAUUAUGCGUUCAUAUUUGAUUACCUGAUCAAUUUAUAUUCGGAGAAAAACUACUGCGAGACCAAAAUGGUGGGCAUACCUGUCCGAUUACAGGAACAUGGGAUUGUGAUGCCAGCCGGGGCCUCCUUCAAAACUAGAAUCAAUAUCGGCCUCGUACAACUCAAUGAGAGAAAUUUUAUUCAAGACAUGCAGAAAAAGUGGUGGGACAACAAGCGUAAGUGUGACAACGGAAAGUCCGGUCGUUCGUCCACGCAGGUCGAGUUUUCCAUCAGCCAUAUGGCGGGUGUCUUCAUCGUUGGCGGUUUCGGCAUGGCUUGCUCCGUGGCUUUUUUCCUCUUCAAGAAGUUUUACGUGCUUGCCAGGAAUGACGAGGAGAAAGACAAGAUGCCAGAGAGUGUUUUACUGGACAGUUCACAAAAAAUACCAGGAGACAUGUUAUAGAAUCGUCAAAACAAUGGAGGAGGAAUGUUUUGCAAUAGAUCAACAGCUCAGGAACAUUGAUAAGGUUUGGAUAGCCCGAGAUUCCUCUGGCCCUGAGAGGUAUAUAUAUAUAUGAUGUACUUAAUUAUGUGACUAAGAGAAGUAUAUAUAUCUAUGAUGAACUUAAUUAUGUGACUAAGAGAGGUGUAUAUAUCUAUGAUGUACUUAAUUAUGUGACUAAGAGAGGUAUAUAUAUCAAUAGUGUGUAUUUCAUUGUCAGACUA
rnacentral:misc_RNA from 1 species